UCCCCUGUGGCGCAAUGGCUAGCGCGUCUGACUGUUACAAGCAAUAAAUACAUCAGGAGGUUGACAGUUCGAGCCUGUCCGGGGGAG